ACUCUACCCCUCUGGUUUGUGUGUAUUCCUGUGAGGUCCAUCCGUGAUUGUUUUGUCAGCAGCCAAGCUACCAGGUCAUCAAGGCAAGGAGCCAUCCCAAAGCUGAAGCGCUAGGACAGUAACCUCAGGGCCAUGGGACACAGUGUGUGAGAGACACCACACUUCAACCACUUAUCACUCGACUCUGACUUGAUGAGAGCACAGGCUGCCGUCUAUAAGGGUGAAAUCAGGAAGGUACAGCAUUUGGAGAAUGAGGUGAAUUUUGCUC